AAUGAGAGAAUGACAAAUCAGAUUUUUCCUUUUGAUUUUCAGCUUUUUCUCCCUGAAAAAAUUCAAAUCAAACUAAAAGUACUAAAAAUCAGAAGGAAAAUUCUGAUUUGUCAUUCUCCUAUU
rfam:Gossypium raimondii Chr09_contig_1714, whole genome shotgun sequence.